rnacentral:ncRNA from 1 species
ACUAUUUUAUAAGCUUCAGUUUUGGCUAGGGGCAAAGCAGCUCACUGGGCAUUGAGAAAUAUCCAGCUCAGUAAUACUAAGCCUAUGCGAGAGGUCUUCAGUUAUAGACCAUAAAUAUACAGUAGUUUUGAGUCCUGAUUUGUGUAAUUACUGAUGUAGUUCAUUAACAUUGUAACACAAUAUCUGGUCUAUAAGCCCUAUCAGCUGUGGAUGGUAGCAUAGGGGGCUACCAUGGUGACCACGGGUAACGGGGAAUCAGGGUUCGAUUCCGGAGAGGGAGCCUGAGAAAUGGCUACCACAUCCAAGGAAGACAGCAGGCGCGCAAAUUACCCAUUACCGACACGGUGAGGUAGUGACGAAAAAUAACGAUGCAGGUCUCUUUCGAGGCCCCUGUAAAUCGGAAUGAACGUAUCCUAAACACAUGGGUGAGGACCCAUUGGAGGGCAAGUCUGGUGGCCAGCAGCCGCGGUAAUCCAGCUUAGUUAGU